rnacentral:rRNA from 1 species
AUACGAGGGGUGCAAGCGUUAAUCGGAAUUACUGGGCGUAAAGCGCGCGCAGGCGGGCUGAUAAGUUGGAUGUGAAAGCCUACGGCUCAACCGUAGAACUGCAUCCAAAACUGUCAGUCUAGAGUGUGGGAGAGGAAGAUGGAAUUAGUUGUGUAGGGGUAAAAUCCGUAGAGAUAACUAGGAAUACCAAAAGCGAAGGCAAUCUUCUGGAACACUACUGACGCUGAGGCGCGAAGGCGUGGGGAGCAAACAGGAUUAGAAACCCCAGUAGUCC